CUCCUAUUUACUCAUUGUGAUCAUGUCACCGUUUUCUGUUCCAGAUCUCCUCCAGCUCCAUGGCUAGUUCUUUCUGCCUUCUGACAACAAUGGUGACAUGAUCCUUGCCGUCGACAACCUUAACACGGGCACGAGAUGGUGACAUCGCAGGUGAGCUGAUCCCUGACGAUCUCAAGGCAUUUGUCGAUCUUGCCGGCGCUGCCACAGAUGAUGUUGUGAAGGGUAUGCCAUGAAGCGAUGUGAGUGUGGCAGAAGAAACCAUCCAUCAGCAACCACAUGAAUUCCAUCCGAAAAUCUGGCGUGACGCUGGAACAGCAGGUCGUGCGCAUGUCGCUUCACCCAAGUACCACUGCUACUGUUGAGCCCCCAAUUGUUGACCGGAGUCAAGCACAGUUCACAAGUCUCGUAGUAGUAGUAUUAACUCCUAGCUAUGGAUGGCAUCAGCAUGCAGGCUGCUUUGCUCGCAGCGAACGCAGAUGGACCCGACCGGCAUCAGUAAAUACCACUCGAAUCCUGCAUCGCCUCGACGGGAAAUCAUCCCAUUCAAUUCAUGUAUUGAAAUUGCUUUUUCAUUUCAAUUUCAUUGGUGUUUACCAACUGCUUAUGCAGCUAGAUAGCUAGCAGCCCAGUGGAAAUGGGAAAACAGCCAGUCCCCAAAUCCGCUGGCAGAUAUAAAAUCUGUUCGUUGAGCUGAGCCGGUUGCUUACCUAAUUUCACCAAAAAAUAUUUGACGCUAAUUUGUGCUGUUAUGACUUCUGCAGGCAUUAGUCUGCUGAUGUUGGUCUUAAUUUGCAGAUCAAAUUAUCUAAAAAUCAGUACUAAUUAAAUACUGGGAUUAGCAAAACCAGGGGAUUUUUUAGGUGGGGGUUUAGGAUUUACCUGUAC